UACGGAGGGUGCAAGCGUUAAUCGGAAUUACUGGGCGUAAAGCGCACGCAGGCGGUUUGUUAAGUCAGAUGUGAAAUCCCCGAGCUUAACUUGGGAACUGCAUUUGAAACUGGCAAGCUAGAGUCUUGUAGAGGGGGGUAGAAUUCCAGGUGUAGCGGUGAAAUGCGUAGAGAUCUGGAGGAAUACCGGUGGCGAAGGCGGUCCCCUGGACAAAGACUGACGCUCAGGUGCGAAAGCGUGGGGAGCAAACAGG
rnacentral:rRNA from 1 species